rnacentral:lncRNA from 1 species
UUCAUGAUUCACUCAUAACUCUUUCUGUGUAAGUGCUUAAGUGACCCCCUCACUAGUGAAAAUAAAUGUUCUAUAUCACUGAUUAUAUGUAUAUUCUCUAUAUGAUAUAUUUUUUUAAGGAAAAGAAACCCCAUGUGUCCGGAUGAACAAUAUUAUCCUAGUGCAAAGCACAUAUAAAGUGGCUUGUUCUAUUCUGAAAAUCUGGCAUUUACAGGAACAAAACUUUUAGAGUGGCUGGUCAUUGUUUUACCUUCUUUUGGUACUUGAGCAUCUUUCUGUGGUUUUGUAAAUGUGUGUCAUUUUGUAAGAAUUUCUUGUUGAUUCUGCUAAGACAAUAAGUUGCCUCUCUCUGAUGUAUGCUCUAGAUCCAGAAGCAAAACUAAUUUUGCUUUCACUGUUAAUGUUGCAUUUUAGCUCAUUGUUUUAAAUUAGAGAAUAAAAUCGUGGAGCCGAGGGAAACUUUAUAACCCUUCAUUUAAUGGCAUGGCAAACUUUUAAAAUUGCUUUUACUGUUUCCCUAGAAUGACGUUUCUGAUAAAGGACAUAGCUGAAAAAUGCCUGCCAGAACUGUAUGAAAUUGGGUUUGUUUCCUACAAUUUCCCCUAAAUGUCAUACAGGGAUUUAACAUCUGUGUAUGCUGUUGGGGCUUUGUGCCAGUCAUCACUUUGGAAAUCUGUGUUCUGAGGCUACAUAAAUGACAAAAAUGUCUUGGGAUUGAAGCCAAUCAACUGUGAACUGUGAAAUUGAAAUUGCUCUUUUGGUUUUAUUUUCUUAAGCAUAUUGCAUAGAGAAUCCUGAAAGUUAUUUAAAAUUUACACUGCUUCUGUUGAUGGCUCA